rnacentral:misc_RNA from 1 species
GAGGAGCGGACGCGGCGCCCGAGGACGUGGAGAACGACAACGCUCUGCUCGCUGCACACGCCAAGGGCGAGGCGAGCUCUCCGGCGGCGCUCCAGCGUCUGCGAGCCUCCUUCGCUUGCUCUAUCAAGUGAGUGGGCGCCCAACGUGGGACCCACCCUACCUCUACUCCCUUCCUUACCAAUAACAUUCUUUCUGAUUCCCGGGACGACGUAGAGGUACAUCAUACCCGCAUCGGACUACUAGCUGAAUAUUAUCAUUCAAGACGAUGGGUGUGUUGAAGUAUCAAGAUCGUGCAAUACCUCCGAUUGAAUCGAGCGGUAGAUCAAUAUCUUAUAGUGCCUAAGUUAUAAUUAUGAGAAUUUAUAAAUUUUAUACGGAUGCAAUUUAUUUAAAAUCACAAUCAAUACGUACGUUUUAUAUGAUUCAAUAAUAUAUUGUUUAUACGGCCUAUACGAAUUCAUGGCUCAAAGCUUGCG